rnacentral:rRNA from 1 species
GCGAACGCGGGCGGCGUCCUUACUACAUGCAAGUAGAACGCUGAGGGAGGAGCUUGCUUUUCUUGGUUGAGUUGCGAACGGGUGAGUAACGCGUAGGUACCCCUCCCCUGGUAGCGGGGGAUAACUAUUGGAAACGAUAGCUAAUACCCGCAUAAGAGUAGAUGUUGCAUGACAUUUGCUUAAAAGGUGCAAUUGCAUCACUACCAGAUGGACCUGCGUUGUAUUAGCUAGUUGGUGGGGUAACGGCUCACCAAGGCGACGAUACAUAGCCGACCUGAGAGGGUGAUCGGCCACACUGGGACUGAGACACGGCCCAGACUCCUACGGGAGGCAGCAGUAGGGAAUCUUCGGCAAUGGACGGAAGUCUGACCGAGCAACGCCGCGUGAGUGAAGAAGGUUUUCGGAUCGUAAAGCUCUGUUGUAAGAGAAGAACGAGUGUGAGAGUGGAAAGUUCACACUGUGACGGUAUCUUACCAGAAAGGGACGGCUAACUACGUGCCAGCAGCCGCGGUAAUACGUAGGUGGCAAGCGUUAUCCGGAUUUAUUGGGCGUAAAGAGAGUGCAGGCGGUUUUCUAAGUCUGAUGUGAAAGCCUUCGGCUUAACCGGAGAAGUGCAUCGGAAACUGGAUAACUUGAGUGCAGAAGAGGGUAGUGGAACUCCAUGUGUAGCGGUGGAAUGCGUAGAUAUAUGGAAGAACACCAGUGGCGAAGGCGGCUACCUGGUCUGCAACUGACGCUGAGACUCGAAAGCAUGGGUAGCGAACAGG